AUUUAUAUAUUUUCUUGCACAUUUUGGUGAUGAUUUUGUACAUAAACAUUCUGUGAUUUUGUAUAUACUCUCAUUCAUUUGUUGAUGCAGAGAAGUGCUAUUUUCUGUUUGUUAUUGUUUUGGUUAUGUAUUCAAUAUUGUGUGUAUCAUUUAGUUAUUUAGUGUACAAGGUGCUAUGUUCAUGGGUGUUCUUUUACCCUGCGAUAUUGUAAAAUAAGGCAUAGAAAUGUCUUUAUUUGUCCCUUUCUUGGUCUUUCCAUUGGCCAGUAACACACUUCUUAUCUGAUAAAUUACUUCAAUUUUUAUGCUAAUUGGGGUGGUUUGUCAUCAUAUGCUAUUGACCGUACUAUUUCCCACUAAAAUUUAACAAUGUUUGCCAAGUAAUGGGAAUUUGACAAUUUUUGACUGAUUGCGACCUGACACUUACUGAAUCUACUCUACGACCAUUUGUCUAUAUAGGAUUCACCCACUUAUUAAAAUAGUUUUUAUCAUAUAAAGAUGACUAUACUAUAAUUCCAUUUGGACUUGACAAUUUUUGCAUGAGAUAUUUCAGUCUGACAAUUUUUGGCCUGUUUCAACAUAAAGACACAAAUAGUUGGGAAUAUUUCUCCCAACCCUUAAAAUCUCGAAAUUAGUUGAUAAAUUGUAACUCAAAAUGAAAAAGUAUUUUGCCAAAUUUUCACAACAAUCAAUAAAUUUUGAAAAAUGAUAUGGUAUCACACAACACAAUUAUAGUUCAAAUAAAGAAACAAUUCCAAGAAUAAUCAAGGUAGAAAUUCUAAAAAUGUAAUUGAAUAAAAUUAACCCUAAACUAAUAUACAUGUAUAUAUAGAUCAUCAUAUUACACACUAUUAUAUUUAGGGUAAGGGAGGGCAGGUUAAUAUUUUUCUCUUAUAUCUACCGAAAUCGUUGAUCGACCCUUCAACUCGAAAAUAAAUACAUCCUAUAUAUAAAAGAACUAAAUGUUUACCUUGUGAAAACCAAUCUUGAAGUGAAAAUUUCAGGUAUGUAAUUUAACAGGUAAAUGCAAGUGAGAAGAUUUCAACUGAUGUUUCAAUCAAAAAAUGUAUAACAGAACUUUGGUAAACAAUUUUGAAACAGUGAAGUAGAAUAAAUUUUGCAAGAAAGUAAAAUUCUUUCUCUGUAAUUAAUCAUUUUUAUUAGAAUAAAAAUUUCCAAAUGAUCACGUUUUAAUGCUUAAGGCUGCAAGAAGGGGAUAAUUACAAACUUCCAAACCAAUGAUAAUGUAAUGCCUGAUGCCACAGACUAUAGCGGCUAUUUAUAACAAUGUAUUAUGUGCCACAUCAGACAUUUUGUUUAUGUUAUGGCAUACCCUGACUGUAUCAGUAAACAUCAUUUAAUCAUAUCAGUGUACAUUAUGUCAGUAUCAAUAAACAUCAUUUAAUCAUCAGUGUACAUUAUGUCAGUGUAUCUGUAAACAUCAUGUAAGUGUAUCGGUAAACAUCAUGUAAGUGUAUCAGUAAACAUCAUGUAAGUGUUUGAAACAUCAUGUAAGUGUAUUGGUAGACAUCUUGUAAGGGUAUUGGUAAACAUCAUGUAAGUGUAUCAGUAAACAUCAUGUAAGUGUUUGAAACAUCAUGUAAGUGUAUUGGUAAACAUCUUGUAAAGGUAUUGGUACACAUCAUGUAAGUUUAUCAGCAAAUAUCUUGUAAGUGUAUUAGUAAACAUUAUGUUAGCGUUUGAAACAUCAUGUAAGUGUAUCGGUACACAUCUUGUAAGGGUUUGAAACAUCAUGUAAGUGUAUCGGUACACAUCUUGUAAGAGUUUGAAACAUCAUGUAAGUGUAUCAGUACACAUCAUGCAAGUGUUUGAAACAUUAUGUAAGUGUAUAUGUAAACAUCUUGUAAAGGUAUUCAUACACAUCUUGUAAGUGUUUGAAACAUCAUGUAAGUGUUCAGUACACAUCUUGUAAGUGUUAGAAACAUCAUGUAAGUGAAUCAGUACACAUCUUGUAAGUGUAUUGGUAAACAUCAUGUAAGUGUAUGGGUAGACAUCUUGUAAGGGUAUUGGUAAACAUCUUGUAAGUGUAUUAGUAAACAUUAUGUAAGUGUUUGAAACAUCAUGUAUGUGUAUAGGUACACAUCUUGUAAGAGUUUGAAACAUCAUGUAAGUGUAUCGGUAAACAUCAUGUAAGUGUAUUGGUAGACAUCUUGUAAGGGUAUUGGUAAACAUCUUGCAAGGGUAUUGGUACACAUCAUGUAAGUGUAUCGGUAAACAUCAUGUAAGUGUAUUGGUAAACAUCAUGUAAGUGUAUUGGUAGACAUCUUGUAAGGGUAUUGGUAAACAUCUUGUAAGUGUAUCAGUACACAUCAUGUAAGUGUAUCAGUAAACAUCUUGUAAGUGUAUCAGUACACAUCUUGUAAGUGUAUCAGUACACAUCAUGUAAGUGUAUCAGUACACAUCAUGUAAGUGUAUCAGUAUACAUCAUGUAAUUGUAUCAGUAUACAUCAUGUAAGUGUAUCAGUACACAUCAUGUAAGUGUAUCAGUAUACAUCAUGUAAUUGUAUCAGUAUACAUCAUGUAAGUGUAUCAGUAUACAUCAUGUAAUUGUAUCAGUAUACAUCUUGUUACUGUUUUGGUGUGCAUCAUGUUAGUGUAUCAGUACACAUCUUGUUACUGUAUCAGUAUACAUUAUGUAAGUGUAUUAGAACACAUCUGAUAAUCAAUUGAAAGGGACAGGUUAUUUUCUUGUUUUUCCAUUUUCC
rnacentral:lncRNA from 1 species